rnacentral:rRNA from 1 species
UAGGGAAUAUUGCUCAAUGGGGGAAACCCUGAAGCAGCAACGCCGCGUGGAGGAUGAAGGUUUUCGGAUUGUAAACUCCUUUUGUUAGAGAAGAUAAUGACGGUAUCUAACGAAUAAGCACCGGCUAACUCCGUGCCAGCAGCCCGCGGUAAUAGAUGUCU